GUGGAUGGAGUUAAGGUGGAGGUUAGUGGAGAGUGGAACCUGGCCUCAGCCCUGCUGCCUGUCACCAUCAACAGAAUCCCCAGGGUUCUACAGUGUCUGUCUAGAGACGCAGGAGGAGAGAUCACUCUACAGUACCUGGGGACACAGUUUAAGGUGCGUGUUCUCAGUAAGCUGGUGUCCACGCUGAGCAGUCACAUGCCUGAGAAGGUUCCAGAAGACACCAGCAGCAUCCUGCGUUCUCCCAUGCCUGGCUCCGUGGUCUCCGUGUCCGUCAAACCUGGAGACGUGGUGGCUGAAGGUCAGGAGAUUUGUGUGAUCGAGGCCAUGAAGAUGCAGAACAGCUUGAUUGCUGCUAAAGCUGCCAAGGUGAAGAGUGUCCACUGUAAAGCAGGAGAGACUGUUGGAGAGGGGAGACCUUCUG